GCAAGUCGAACGAAGUUCUUUCGGGAACUUAGUGGCGGACGGGUGAGUAACACGUGAGAACCUACCUUCAGGACGGGGACAACAGUUGGAAACGACUGCUAAUACCCGAUGUGCCGAGAGGUGAAAGGAUUUAUUGCCUGAAGAUGGGCUCGCGUCUGAUUAGCUAGUUGGGAGUGUAAGAGCUUACCAAGGCGACGAUCAGUAUCUGGUUUGAGAGGACGAUC
rnacentral:rRNA from 1 species